GACAGAGGGUGCAAGCGUUGUUCGGAAUUAUUGGGCGUAAAGGGCGCGUAGGCGGCGACUCAAGUCAGAUGUGAAAUCCCUGGGCUCAACCCAGGAAGUGCAUCUGAUACUGAGUUGCUUGAGUCCCGGAGAGGGUGGUGGAAUUCCUGGUGUAGAGGUGAAAUUCGUAGAUAUCAGGAGGAACACCGGUGGCGAAGGCGACCACCUGGACGGAGACUGACGCUGAGGCGCGAAAGCGUGGGGAGCAAACAGG
rnacentral:rRNA from 1 species